UACCAGCACCCCGAGUGGUCGGGACGUUUUAUUGGGCCUAAAGCAUCCGUAGCCGGUUCUACAAGUCUUCCGUUAAAUCCAACUGCUUAACAGGUGGGCUGCGGAAGAUACUAUAGAGCUAGGAGGCGGGAGAGGCAAGCGGUACUCGAUGGGGUAGGGGUAAAAUCCGUUGAUCCAUUGAAGACCACCAGUGGCGAAGGCGGCUUGCCAGAACGCGCUCGACGGUGAGGGAUGAAAGCUGGGGGGAGCAAACCGG
rnacentral:rRNA from 1 species